ACACUGGGGUUGUCAUUGGGGAGUAGCCACCCUUCUUCAUUGAGAGGGGCUUGCAUCAACAGACUUGUACGACCGUCGCCUUCGCGCUGCGGCCCGGACAUGGUGCAAGCGAUUCUUCGGAUUUCCCGCCCCGGGAAGUUUU
rnacentral:sRNA from 2 species